GUGAGCCGCAGGACAGGGAGCUUCAUUUAUAUAUGAAGAAGUCACACUGCCAGUCACUGAAAUACAGUUGAAAGAUAGCUAAUUCCUUGCUGUUUAUGUGUUUUUACAGUGUUUCAGCAAUAAAACAAUAUAUGUGCCACCAGAAGUCUCCGCCUCUCCUGUUUGUGCAACAUCAGCAGAGAUUGUGUCAACUAGACCAUCCCCUGUGAAGGCCUCAUCGACACGACAGUCACUGGCACAGAUCCUCAACAAACCGUCCCAUACCGGCGUGAUGAAUACGAUCCUCAACUAGAUGGAACUGGAAUAAAUACUUUGACUGUCACGAUCCCAAUCGGACUUAUGAAAGCUGCCUGAAUCAUAAUCAGCGACUGAGCCUGGUUUCUCCCAAUUUCUUUGUUGUAUGUCAGAGUUCUUCAGCUCAAGUCCUGAAGUGCCGAGCGCAGGUUGGAAGUGUGUCACUUCAAAGUUUGUGAAAAUAAAAAGUUUUUACCUGUUAA